ACACGACUACAUUAGAUACCCGGGUAGUCCUAGCCGUAAACGAUACUCGCUAGGUGUCGGCCACGGUGCGACCGUUGUCGGUGCCGUAGGGAAGCCGUGAAGCGAGCCACCUGGGAAGUACGGCCGCAAGGCUGAAACUUAAAGGAAUUGGCGGGGAGCACAACAACGGGUGGAGCUCGCGGUUUAAUUGGAUUCAACGCCGGAAAUCUUACCGGGACCGACAGCAACAUGAAGGCCAAGCUGAAGACUUUGCCGGAUUAGCUG
rnacentral:rRNA from 1 species